rnacentral:rRNA from 1 species
GACGAACGCUGGCGGCGUGCUUAACACAUGCAAGUCGAACGGAAAGGCCUUGUAGGUGUUACUCGAGUGGCGAACGGGUGAGUAAGAGUAGGGUGAGCGGCCCUUCCCUCUGGGCGAAGGCUGAGAAACUGGGACGAAUGCCGGAUAGGACUGCAAACUAGAGAGAGAGGUGGAAAGUUUGGUCGGUGUAGUAUGAGCACGCGGCCUAUCAGCUUGUUGGUGGGGUAAUGGCGUACCAAGGAGGGGACGGGUAGCCGGACUGAGAGGGUGGCCGGCCACAUUGGGACUCAGAUACGGGCCAGACUCCUACGGGAGGCAGCAGUGGAAGAUAUUCCGCAAUGGGCGCCAGCCGGAUGCAGCGACGCCGCGUGGGGGAUGACGGCCUUCGGGGUGUAAACUCCUUUCGCCAGGGACGAAGCGUUUUGUGACGGAACCAGGAAAAGAGGCACGGGCUAAUUACGU